CUUCGUCUUCUAUCAAUUAAGUCUAAGAUUGAUUUAUAAGAGCAGGAGGCUAAGGGACAUUCACACCAAGAGCUAACUUAUACUCCGGCUAUUAUAUUGAUAGAGCAAUCAGAAACGAUAAUGGGUUAGGUUGCGAUGUGACAGUGACGACCAUCAGAAUUAUUUGCAUGUGCAAUUCGUGAUUUUGAAUUGAAUCGAAGAGAAGACUCCUAAUUUCUCAAACACGUGGCUUUUGCAAGUACAAACCAACAGUUCCUAACAGUGCUAUUGAGCGGACCAAAACAAAAAAUUCUAGAAGGCAAUCUAAACGGUGAAAUCGAAAGCUGCAAUCAUAAUAGCAAAGAAAACGACGAAACAAAAGUAGAAAGCGGCAUUAGUUCUUUUCUUUUUUUUCCAUUGUACAUUGACAAAGAAAGCAGAAAGGGAGGAGGAGAUCGUACUGUGGAAAAGAAUUAACUUGAUCGAUUGAGAAAUUUUUUUAUCGAAAGUAAACUUGAUCUA